rnacentral:lncRNA from 1 species
GUGUGGGCAGGAACAGUCCAGGGUCUGUCAGUCAAGGUCAGUACUAACAGUGUUAGGAACUGGGUACAACUUGAGGGAGCUUGCAGCAGGUCAGAUUCUCCAUGAAGCAAAAACUGAAGAGGAAAUUAGCACUCAGGAUGUUUAAGGAACACUCCUGGGUUCAAACCUGCUGAAGGAGGAGAAAGAAGUAGGAGUUGAUGAAGGAAAAAGUAAACUGUGAUGCAAAACUAAGGGUACCCUUGUUACACCCUUAGGGAGCUCUGGAGCUAGAAUGGCUUUUCAGAGCUGUCCUAAGUUGGGCCGAGAUAACCAGGCCUUUAUACUCCUUCCUAUAUGAAUCAGCCGUUGGAUGUAGAGUCCUUAGGAAGGAACACAACAUUGGCUGUGUACCUCUCCGUAUAUGAAGCAAUCCCUGAAGAGGCUUACAGCUGAAGGCUGUCUGCCGAGUACACUCCCAGGAACUGGGGCAAUAUGUCGUCUUCAAAGGAGAAUCUGGAUGGUGCAUCAUUGUGUCCACCACAGAUCUCAAGAUCACCAAAUCCGGACUGGCAAUGCAUAAGAGGCAUGAAGUUCUGACAUCCUAAACUCAAAUGGCAGGGAAAAAAAAACACUGCCAUCUAUUCUGACCUCUGAAGUCACCAUGCCCAUUAACUGAGGAUGAAGAAGACAGAAGGAAUACUGAAUGUCUGAAGAGAGAGAAAACGUUAUAAAAUUAUCCUUUCAAAAGAUGGAAGAAUAAAUUCACUUGGCAAAUGUGAUAUGGACUCACCUGAGGUUUGAAGUCAUCCAAAAAGAAACCAAAAAUCAUGGUUUUGAGAUUUUGUCCAAAUUCCUUCAUUAUCUCAGCACUGCACUAGGAUACUAAUGAGUUUUCGGGAACAGAAAACCCAAUGGAAUAUUAAAAUUGGAAAGAAGAGCUCCUUGAGUUAAUUUCACUGAAGUGCAUCACAACACACUGCACUGUUGUAAGAAUGAAUAUUCAAAUAGGAAUCCAGUCAUGGGAAAAUUAAUUAAGGAAAAUGUUAUUGCUAAUAUUUCUUUUUAUGAAUAUACAUAUGCGGAGACACACAACCAUCUAUUGGCUCCACACUGACAAUAAUAAAAGCCAAACAUUUAUGAGAGUCAAAUGUUCAAGAUCUCUUGCUGAGUUGGUGUUAAAAGAUUUUAAAUAAAAAAAUUAUGAUUCCAGAGAAUUGUUUCUAAAAGACAAAUCAUGUCAUGUCACUCCUUUGCUUAAAAUUCUUCAAUGGAUCCAAAACAUUCUUCAGAAUAAAGUCAAAAUCAUCAGGGAAUUCAAGGCCCUUCACUAUGCGGCUCAUGCAUACUUCCCCUCAUUUCACCUACUGCAUUCUCCUAAAUACAUUGUGCUCUUGCAAAUCUCUGUCUUUGAAC